AAGCGGUGGAGCAUGUGGUUUAAUUCGAAGCAACGCGAAGAACCUUACCAGGUCUUGACAUCCCUGACAACCCGAGAGAUCGGGCGUUCCCCUUCGGGGGACAGGGUGACAGGUGGUGCAUGGUUGUCGUCAGCUCGUGUCGUGAGGUGUUGGGUUAAGUCCCGCAACGAGCGCAACCCUCGACCUUAGUUGCCAGCAUUCAGUUGGGCACUCUAAGGUGACUGCCGGCUAAAAGUCGGAGGAAGGUGGGAUGACGUCAAAUCAUCAUGCCCCUUAUGACCUGGGCUACACACGUGCUACAAUGGCCGGUACAGACGGACGCAAAGCCGCGAGGUGGAGCAAAUCCUAAAAAAGCCGGUCUCAGUUCGGAUUGCAGGCUGCAAUUCGCCUGCAUGAAGUCGGAAUCGCUAGUAAUCGCAGGUCAGCAUACUGCGGUGAAUACGUUCCCGGGCCUU
rnacentral:rRNA from 1 species